rnacentral:rRNA from 1 species
GACGAACGCUGGCGGCGUGCUUAACACAUGCAAGUCGAACGGUGAUCUCGAGAGCUUGCUCUUGGGUGAUCAGUGGCGAACGGGUGAGUAACACGUGAGUAACCUGCCCCAGACUCUGGAAUAACCCCGGGAAACCGGAGCUAAUACCGGAUACGAAGUGGAGCCGCAUGGCUACUGCUUGGAAAGUUUUUUCGGUCUGGGAUGGACUCGCGGCCUAUCAGCUUGUUGGUGAGGUAAUGGCUCACCAAGGCGACGACGGGUAGCCGGCCUGAGAGGGCGACCGGCCACACUGGGACUGAGACACGGCCCAGACUCCUACGGGAGGCAGCAGUGGGGAAUAUUGCACAAUGGGCGAAAGCCUGAUGCAGCGACGCCGCGUGAGGGAUGAAGGUCUUCGGGUUGUAAACCUCUUUCAGCAGGGAAGAAGCGCAAGUGACGGUACCUGCAGAAGAAGCACUGGCUAACUACGUGCCAGCCGCCGCCGUAAAAC